rnacentral:rRNA from 2 species
CGGGAAACCCGGAGCUAAUACCGGAUAGUUCCUUGAACCGCAUGGUUCAAGGAUGAAAGACGGUUUCGGCUGUCACUUACAGAUGGACCCGCGGCGCAUUAGCUAGUUGGUGAGGUAACGGCUCACCAAGGCGACGAUGCGUAGCCGACCUGAGAGGGUGAUCGGCCACACUGGGACUGAGACACGGCCCAGACUCCUACGGGAGGCAGCAGUAGGGAAUCUUCCGCAAUGGACGAAAGUCUGACGGAGCAACGCCGCGUGAGUGAUGAAGGUUUUCGGAUCGUAAAGCUCUGUUGUUAGGGAAGAACAAGUGCAAGAGUAACUGCUUGCACCUUGACGGUACCUAACCAGAAAGCCACGGCUAACUACGUGCCAGCAGCCGCGGUAAUACGUAGGUGGCAAGCGUUGUCCGGAAUUAUUGGGCGUAAAGGGCUCGCAGGCGGUUUCUUAAGUCUGAUGUGAAAGCCCCCGGCUCAACCGGGGAGGGUCAUUGGAAACUGGGAAACUUGAGUGCAGAAGAGGAGAGUGGAAUUCCACGUGUAGCGGUGAAAUGCGUAGAGAUGUGGAGGAACACCAGUGGCGAAGGCGACUCUCUGGUCUGUAACUGACGCUGAGGAGCGAAAGCGUGGGGAGCGAACAGGAUUAGAUACCCUGGUAGUCCACGCCGUAAACGAUGAGUGCUAAGUGUUAGGGGGUUUCCGCCCCUUAGUGCUGCAGCUAACGCAUUAAGCACUCCGCCUGGGGAGUACGGUCGCAAGACUGAAACUCAAAGGAAUUGACGGGGGCCCGCACAAGCGGUGGAGCAUGUGGUUUAAUUCGAAGCAACGCGAAGAACCUUACCAGGUCUUGACAUCCUCUGACAACCCUAGAGAUAGGGCUUUCCCUUCGGGGACAGAGUGACAGGUGGUGCAUGGUUGUCGUCAGCUCGUGUCGUGAGAUGUUGGGUUAAGUCCCGCAACGAGCGCAACCCUUGAUCUUAGUUGCCAGCAUUNAGUUGGGCACUCUAAGGUGACUGCCGGUGACAAACCGGAGGAAGGUGGGGAUGACGUCAAAUCAUCAUGCCCCUUAUGACCUGGGGCUACACACGUGCUACAAUGGACAGAACAAAGGGCUGCGAGACCGCAAGGUUUAGCCAAUCCCACAAAUCUGUUCUCAGUUCGGAUCGCAGUCUGCAACUCGACUGCGUGAAGCUGGGAAUCGCUAGUA